rnacentral:lncRNA from 1 species
ACUUCUAAUUCUGACUGAGGUUUCCUGGUGAAGACCUUAGAUUCAGCUGAGGAGGGUACAGAGCAACAAAUGGUAGAUGAAUUCAAAUGCUGGAUGAGAGGAAGUCAAACUGGAAAGCCUACUAUCGCCAAAUGGUCAAGGACACAGGCAUUGGCCUACUUCACCUGAAGAUGAUGAGGAUGAAGAUGAUCCACUUCCACUGAAUAAAUAGUAAAUACAGGAGCUGAGUGUGGUGGCACAUGCCUGUAGUCCCAGCUACUCAGGAGGCAGAGAUAGAAGGAUUGCUUGAGGCCAGAAGUUCGAGUCCAGCCUGAGUAAGAUAGUAAGAACUUUCUCUCUUAAAAAAAAAAGUAUUUAAAGUAUAUUUUUUAUUCUUUAUAAUUCUCUUAAUGUUUUCUCUAGCUUACUUUAUUGUAGAAAUACAGCAUAUAAUAUAUAUGACAUGCAAAAUAUGUGUUAAUUGACUGUAUUAUCAGCAAGGCUUCCUGUCAACAAUUGGAUAAUAGUUAAGCUUUUGAGAAGUCAAAAGUUAAACACAGAUUUUUGAUUGUGUGUGUGCGGGAUUGGCAUCCCUAAUCCUCACAUCGUUCAAGCAUCAAACAAUAUUUUAAAUCAUUUCUAGAGUACUUA